GAUUAACGCUAGCGGCAGGCCUAAUACAUGCAAGUUGUACGGGAUUAUUGGUAGCAAUACUGAUAUGAGAGUAGCGCACGGGUGCGUAACACGUAUGCAACCUACCUUUAACUGGGGAAUAGCUCACCGAAAGGUGAAUUAACACCGCAUAAAAUCACAGAAGGACAUCCUUUAAUGAUUAAAUCUCCGGAGGUUAAAGAUGGGCAUGCGUCCGAUUAGCUAGNGGCGGGGUAAUAGCCACCAAGGCAACGAUCGGUAGGGGUCUGAGAGGAUGACUCCCCCACACUGGUACUGAGACACGGACAG
rnacentral:rRNA from 1 species